AAGUUGGGGACUCUAAGGAGACUGCCGGUGAUAAACCGGAGGAAGGUGGGGACGACGUCAAGUCAUCAUGGCCCUUAUGACCGGGGCUACACACGUACUACAAUGGUCGGUACAGACGGUCGCAAGCUCGCGAGAGUAAGCUAAUCCGAGAAAACCGAUCGUAGUCCGGAUCGCAGUCUGCAACUCGACUGCGUGAAGUCGGAAUCGCUAGUAAUCGCAAAUCAGAAUGUUGCGGUGAAUACGUUCCCGGGCCUU
rnacentral:rRNA from 1 species